UAUAUAUGACCCAGCUAUUCCACAGCUAGGUAUUUACCCAAGGGAAAUGAAAGUAUAUAUCUACACAAAGACUUGUCUGCAAAUGUUCACAGCAACUUUAUUUGUAGUAACCAAAAACAGAACACAGUCUGUCUGUCCAUCCAUAGACAUACCGGUAAACAAACUGGGGUAUAUCCAUACAAUCACUACUCAGCAUGAAAAAAAUUGAUGUACGCAACAGUCUGGAUAAAUCUCCAAAUAAUUAGAUUGAAUGGGAAAAGCCAUGUAAAAAAGAACAUACACUGUGUGAUUCCAUUUAUACAUCAUUCAAAUUCAUCUUUAGCUAAUAGCAAAGCACACAAAUGGUUGCCUAAGGAUGAGGUGGGUAGGGGCAGGGAAAGGCAAGAGAGAAGGAUUAAUAGGAAGAUGGGAAAAAUCUAGGGGGUGAUGGAUAUGUUCACUAUCUUCAUUGUGGUGAUGGUUUCUUAGUUGUAUGCAUAUGUCAGAACUUAUCAAAUUGUAUACUUUAAAUAUGUGCAAUUUAUUAUAUGUCAAAUAUAACUCCAAAAUGCUGUAAAAAAAAAAAAAAAGUAUAGAUUGCCAUCUUCUCCUGAAAAAUAUGGUCUGGUGCUGCCACCUUGAGAUGGGACAGGCACUCUCCACUGAACUAACCCUGGUUAUUUCCCCAUUUUUCUUACACCAGCUUUUAAAAUGUACAUAUGCUUCCUUGGCUUCUAAUGAUAUUUGAGGUUGCAACUCCUAUUUAAAAGGUAAAUGGGCACAUUUUCUAACAAAAAGAAGUAAACACUAGGGAAUACAAUACAUUCUCUAGGUCAGGCUUCAUUUCUUUUUGUAUUCCUAACGCGUAACAUCCAUGGCAGAUGAUCAAAGCGCAAAUCCAUUCUCUCAGAUGGAACUCAUAUAGAGUAUCAGCCCUUGAUUGCCUUGUUUAGGAACUAAAGGAGAAGAGAGCCAGGGGAUAGUCUGAUAUAGGCCAGGCAUUAUUCAGAUGGUUUGCAUUCACUUCAUUUAUUCUUCACAAAACCCCAAGAGAUAAUAUUAUUAUCCCAAUAUUACUGAUGAGAGGCUAAUAGAUAAUAACUUUCCUAUAGCGAAAUGGCUUAUUCAACAAAUAAGAGUGCAGAUUUUAAUCCAGGACUGUUGUCAAGAAAGCAUGUAAUCUUUGUGUUAGUGUUGAGGGUGAAAGAAUAAAAGGGAGAAAGUUGAUUUAAUAGCAAGUCUUUGAAAACAGUGACUGUAAGCAUAGUGUGUGCAUGCAUGCGUGUGUGUGUGUGUGUGUGCAUGUGUUGUAUAGGGGAAAAUGUUUUCAUUACAGGAGGAAGAAUAGAAAUUAUGAACUUAUUUCACAGAGGCACUUCUCUAAGAAAAAAACUUGUAUUUGUCUUACUGACUGAACUGUUUUUGUGAGAUACUCAGAGGUAGCCUUUUGAAAGGAAGGUCAUCUUACUGACGCACUCUUCCUUUUUGUUUCAGUGCUGUGUGCGUUUUUGUGUCCCCUGUUUAAGUGUAAUGAUAUUGGACAAAAAAUAUACAGCAAAAUCAAGUCACUUCUGCUGAAGCUAGAUUUUGGAAUUGGAGAAUAUAUUAAUCAGAAGAGACGUAAGAGAUCUGAAGCAGAUAAAGAAAAAAGUCACAAAGAUGACAGUGAAUUAGACCUUUCAGCUCUUUGUCCUAAGAUUAGCCUCACGGUUGCGGCCAAAGAGUUGUCUGUGUCUGACACGGACGUGUCCGAGGUCUCCUGGACUGACAAUGGGACCUUCAACCUGUCAGAAGGAUACACUCCACAGACAGACACUUCUGAUGGUAUGCUCACAUUUCUACAUAUUCUUCUUUUUAAUAUUAUGAGUAUCUGCAAAAAUAUUUACCUCUGUCAACUGCUGAAUCGAUACACAAAAUAUGGCGUAUCUAUACAGCGGAAUACCACUUGGCUAUAAAAACAAAGUGCUGAUACAUGCCAUGACUUGGAUGAACCUUGAGAACAUUAUGCUGAGUGAAAGAAAUCAAACACACAAGUCCAUCUAUUGUAUCAGUCCAUUUAUAUGAAACGCCCAGAAGAGGCAAAUCCAUUUGGACAGAAAGUAGGUUAGUGGCUGCUAGGGGCUGAGGGAAGAAGAAUGGUGGUGAGUGAUUGGUAAUUAGUAUGAGUUUUUUGUAAUGAUGAAAUUAGGUAUUGGUGGUUGUUGUAAAGCUUUGUGAGUAUAUUAAAAAACCACCGAGUGUACACUUUAAAAGGGCAAAUUUUAUGGUAUAUGAAUCGUAUCUCAAAAGCUAUUACUUUUUUAAAAGUAUGAGAAAAAGAUCUAAGACAGUCAAGAUACAAAUCUGCCUUUAUUUUGAAAACAAAUAAUUGACAGUGAAAACAAUUUCUGAAAUGUCUGGUGGCAAAUAUCUGUUACUUUUGGCAACAAUGGAAGGAGUGGAAGAGAGACACUCAUCCCAUACAUCCAGGGCUAGUCCUCAUUAAAAAGGAUUGAAGUGCAAAGGACCAGUUCCCCAAGUCUAAAGCUGACUCCACUCACGUUUUUCUUCAAAGUUAAAAAAAAAAAUUUUUUUAUAAUUAGGAUAAAUAUAAUUUAAAAUAGUCUUGUGCAGUAACUUAACAUUUACUAGCCUCAUUGGAUUAUUUCAAGUCAUUUUAGCCAUAUACUGAAAAUAUGAGGUUAUAAUGGAAGAUUAUGAAUUGCUUUAUAUGUGUUUUUACAAGCAAGAACACACUUUCUUUUCCUAGAGGAAGGAGGGAGGCUGUGCAAUGUUUGAAAGACAGGCUUGGAGACUGGAACACCCAAGUGUAGUCUUGCUUUUGUCAUUAGCUACCUGUGUGACCUUGAACGGGUGACAUAAUUUCUGUGGGCUUCAAUUUCCUCACCUUUAAAGUGUAUUAGAAUAUUCAUGGGGCAACCUGGUGGCUCAGUUGGUAGAACAUGUGACUCUUGA